ACAGUUACCUUGUUACGACUUCACCCCAGUUAUCGGUCCCACCUUCGACGAGCUCCCUCCGAUUGGUUGGGUCACCGGCUUCGGGCGUUACUGACUCCCAUGGUGUGACGGGCGGUGUGUACAAGACCCGGGAACGUAUUCACCGCGACAUUCUGAUUCGCGAUUACUAGCGAUUCCAGCUUCAUGUAGUCGAGUUGCAGACUACAAUCCGAACUGAGACGUUAUUUUUGGGAUUUGCUCACAUUCACAUGCUUGCUUCCCUUUGUUUACGCCAUUGUAGCACGUGUGUAGCCCUGGUCAUAAGGGGCAUGAUGAUUUGACGUCAUCCCCACCUUCCUCCAAGUUGUCCCUGGCAGUCUCUCUAGAGUGCCCAUCCAAAAUGCUGGCUACUAAAGAUAGGGGUUGCGCUCGUUGCGGGACUUAACCCAACAUCUCACGACACGAGCUGACGACAACCAUGCACCACCUGUCUCCAGUGCUCCGAAGAGAAAGGACGGUUAAGUCCCGGUCACCGGGAUGUCAAGAU
rnacentral:rRNA from 1 species